rnacentral:rRNA from 1 species
GACGAACGCUGGCGGCGUGCCUAAUACAUGCAAGUCGAACGAACCGCGACUAAGUGCUUGCACUAAGUCAAGGUGAGUGGCGAACGGGUGAGUAACACGUGGGUAACCUACCUCAUAGUGGGGGAUAACAGUCGGAAACGACUGCUAAUACCGCAUAGGACAUAGGAUCACAUGAUCCAGUGAGGAAAGGUGGCGCAAGCUAUCGCUAAGAGAUGGACCCGCGGUGCAUUAGCUAGUUGGUAGGGUAAAGGCCUACCAAGGCGAUGAUGCAUAGCCGACCUGAGAGGGUGAUCGGCCACAUUGGGACUGAGACACGGCCCAAACUCCUACGGGAGGCAGCAGUAGGGAAUAUUCCGCAAUGGACGAAAGUCUGACGGAGCAACGCCGCGUGAGUGAAGAAGGUCUUCGGAUCGUAAAGCUCUGUUGUUAGAGAAGAACAGCGCAUAGAGUAACUGCUAUGCGUGUGACGGUAUCUAACCAGAAAGCCACGGCUAACUACGUG